UACGGAGGGUGCAAACGUUGCUCGGAAUCAUUGGGCGUAAAGCGCACGUAGGCGGACCAGCAAGUUAGGGGUGAAAUCCCGGGGCUCAACCCCGGAACUGCCUUUAAAACUGUUGGUCUGGAGGUCGAGAGAGGUGAGUGGAAUUCCGAGUGUAGAGGUGAAAUUCGUAGAUAUUCGGAGGAACACCAGUGGCGAAGGCGGCUCACUGGCUCGAUACUGACGCUGAGGUGCGAAAGCGUGGGGAGCAAACAGG
rnacentral:rRNA from 1 species